rnacentral:rRNA from 1 species
ACGGGUGAGUAACACGUGGGUGAUCUGCCCUGCACUUCGGGAUAAGCCUGGGAAACUGGGUCUAAUACCGGAUAUGACCUCCUAUCGCAUGGUGGGUGGUGGAAAGAUUUAUCGGUGCAGGAUGGGCCCGCGGCCUAUCAGCUUGUUGGUGGGGUAAUGGCCUACCAAGGCGACGACGGGUAGCCGACCUGAGAGGGUGACCGGCCACACUGGGACUGAGACACGGCCCAGACUCCUACGGGAGGCAGCAGUGGGGAAUAUUGCACAAUGGGCGAAAGCCUGAUGCAGCGACGCCGCGUGAGGGAUGACGGCCUUCGGGUUGUGAACCUCUUUCAGCAGGGACGAAGCGCAAGUGACGGUACCUGCAGAAGAAGCACCGGCUAACUACGUGCCAGCAGCCGCGGUAAUACGUAGGGUGCAAGCGUUGUCCGGAAUUACUGGGCGUAAAGAGUUCGUAGGCGGUUUGUCGCGUCGUUUGUGAAAACCAGCAGCUCAACUGCUGGCUUGCAGGCGAUACGGGCAGACUUGAGUACUGCAGGGGCGACUGGAAUUCCUGGUGUAGCGGUGAAAUGCGCAGA